ACUAGCUCCUAAAACCCUAAGCGGCGCGGUUGGUCAUCCAGAAAGAGAAGCCGCCUGCUCCGACGGCACGCCCUCGCGGGCGUUGUCGUCGGACGGGAUACGAGAAGGGCUCAAUCUGAAAGUCAGGUGCGGGAGGUGGUGCCUUUGUUUCUCCGGGCAGAGCGAGGUCGACCACGACGAGCAAGGGUGAGAUUGGAUGUUAGGGACGACAGCGAUCUGUCCUAUGGAGGAGGGGGAGCAGACUAGUGGAUGGUGUGUGGCGGUGCGCCGAGACCAGAAUCAUUUGAGGGUGGUAGUUGGGCGGUGGUUCUAGGAUCGGAAGUCGUUGAAAGAAACAAGUGCACCUUCUAGGUACCUGAAUUUGACAGCCUCGAGUUAGACAGAUACAAAAAUGUGAUGAGUUCACCAUUAAUUCAACAAAUUGGUAAGUCAAAGUGAGAUUUCAUUUGGUUCCAUAAUCAAUGUAUUCAGAAAUCUAAAAACUAGUUUCAGAAUAAAAGCUACUCCAGAUUAAUCUCGAUUCAAGCUACAUAAGCUCAAGGCAGGCCCGGUCCUGGGGCAAGGCGAAGCAGGCUUGGGUCUAGGGCCUCAAAUUUUGGGGGCCUUAAAUAUUAUAUAUAGGCCUGCAGAGUAAAAAAAUAAAGGAGAAAUUACUGGUCACUCCAUUAACUUUCAUGCGCUCGACAGUUUACUCCAUUAACUUUCAAUUUCAAUCGAUUACUCCAUUAACUAUCCAAUGUCACACAAUUAGGUCCAUCCGUUAAGUGGCCGUCCAAAUCAGUGGUUAAGUUGCUGAUUGGACAUAUUUUUCAACUGGAAAUUCUAUUUAACACCCCACCUCUCUCUCUCUCUNNNNNNNNNNNNNNNNNNNNCUCUCUCUCUCUCUCUCUCUCUCUCUCUCUCUCUCUCUCUCUCUCUCUCUCUCUCUCUCUCUCUCUCUCUCUCUCUCUCUCUCUCUCUCUCUCUCUCUGUGGCCAGCCAUGGCUUCUUAAACAGUGUGUAAGCUGUUGUUUUUGGCUUCACUUUCCUCUCACUCAAAUCCAACAAAAGUUUAUGAACCAAAGCCUAUUGUAAAGAUAGGAUUACAAGCUUUAAGUACAUAGCUUAAGUUUUGAAAACAAAGCCCUGGAUAGGAAGUUAUGCUCUCUCAAAGUUGAAGCAAAAAUCUGAAAACCCAGAGAAUUUCAGCUUUUGGCUGAAUCUGCUACUGUUUUUGGCAAGCAAUUUGACAAACCAAAUGUUAACCAAAUCCUCUGAAAUUUAAGACACAUAAAGAUGGAUAUAUGUUCUUUACAAAGGUACUUUCGGAUUUCAAAACAAAGGCCUGAGCUGAAAGAUAUCAAGACGCAAAGUAGGAAAGAAAAUCAGCUUUUCUGCAGAAUUCUGGAAAUUUGCAGCAACUAAUAAACUUGAUUUUGGAAGCUUUAAUUCGACUUUUGAAGUAACAAAACAAGGUCUAAAGCUUCAGAACGUUAAGGAACAGAUUUCCAGAGUACGAAAUCAUUUUAAAUACAACAGACAGUUGAAUCAAAAGGAUCCAAAAUCUACUUUGGACACCCAAACUCAAGAACAUAGUUCUUGAGCUACAACCACAAUGAUUCUAAUUGAAACCUAACAACGAAUAGAGCCACCGGAGGGCAUUGGUCAAAUGGUCACUUUUUGCUCACUGAGCUGAACCCAGACAUGGAAUUCCCAAUCGAUACGAGACCCUUGUUUCGUUUCGUUUCCCGAUCUGAACCCCUCAAGCUCCAGUCUGCUAUGCAAACCUGACCCACAAUCAAAAUUCCAAAUCUUCCGGAUUCUUCCAGCUCAACACACAACAAAACCCAGCAAACUGCUUCGUGUUCUCCUGGAACUGACCCAGAGUUGAUCGAGCUUGAUGAUGAUGACGACCAGAACGAGCUCCCUUCUUCUUCUUCUUUGGUGUUGUCUCAGCAAAGCCCCGAACUUUUACUUUUCUUCUUCUUCGUUCCUAAUCUAGCAUGCAUGAGUACUUCACACGUUAAUCUUUUAUUUCUUUAAUUUGUUUUUGUUUCUUGUUUUUGCAUAUGUAUGCAUUUUCUUUUCCUAGAUUUGCUAGAUUCAAUCAUCAUAGCUAUCGUGUGAUGACAAUAGUUAUUGUCAAUGUACUUCCUCAAGAAAGAGCAAUCGUGUGACAUUUUAUUGUCAUUUGUUCUCCUACCAAAUUAUUUUACAUCAGGUUUACAAAAAGGGUUAUUUGUACUAUAUAGAUGGCAUUGGUCUAGUCCUCUAACUUCUUGUCCCUCUACACUUACCAAAAAAAAAAAAAAAAAAUUACGUAGAGGAGGCAAUAGCUGUCUUUUGCUUACACAGUUGUUACUAGGGCUGGGCACGGGCCCGGCCUGGCCACUAUUUUACAGGGCCCGGGCCCUGACCGGACACACUCCAAUCGGGCCGGGUUUUAUUGUUUCAAAUUCAGGGCCCGGAAAAAGCCCGAACCAGCAAGAACCAGGCCGGUCCUGUUGGGCUUGCGGGCUUAAUAACUUGAAAUGAAAUGCAAUAACGAGAGCGAGACUGACUGACUGAGAGAGUUGACCCUCUCAAUUUAGUUUAAGUCUUUGACCACAAAUCAUGUGUGGUUGAGCUCAUUCUAUUAUUGUAAAUCUUUAGAAACAUCUAAUAAAAUUAUGACAUGUAUAUUAGUCGGGCUCUCGGGCUUUUUUCAUUCCCAUAAACAAGGCCCGGGCCCGGCCUGGACCGCCACUAAACAUAGUCGGGACCGGUGGCUUUUUAUCUCCAACGGGCUUUAUGCCCACCCCUAGUUGUUACCCUCGUUGCUGGCUGGCGUUGGUAAGUGUAGACAGAACAUGGAAAAGACGGAAGGAAUUGACCGAGCCUAAUUAAGCCGCGUGGUCACCGUCCUUUUUACUACGACAGUAAUAACUAGUCCUUUUACUACUGGGUGUGGAUGGUGUUGUCGGCGUCACGUAAAUGCCGGCCAAAUGAUACAAGCUUGACAUAUAUAUAUAUAUAUUUAUAUAUAUACAGGCCCCAUGUGAAGCGGACGUCUAGGACGUCCGCACUAGGCUUAAAGUGCGGACGUCCGUCCGUUCUCCACCCUCCGGCGCCGGCGAUGGCGCGCCUCCACCCCAGAAGACUCCACCAACAUCCCUGACCACUUUCCCUCCCUCGGCGAGUCCAUUCUUUUCCAGUUUUCCGGCGAGAUCACCCAAAACUUCAAACAAAAUCGAUCUCGCCGGAAAACUGGAAAAGAACGGACUCACCAGUGAGGGAAAGUGGUCGGGGAAGCUGCUGGAGUCGGCUGAGGUGGAGGCGCGCCCUCGCGCGGCGCCGUACGGUGGCGAACGGACGAAAAUCCUCACCGUAAAACGGUGCGGACGUCAUAGCAGAGAAGGGCUGUAUAUAUAUAUAUACACUGUAUAUAUAUAUACAGCCCUUCUCGGCUGCGGACGUCCGCACCAACGGUUUUGGUGCGGAUUUCCAUUUUUGCACCACUUUCCGAUCGAAUUUCCUCAUCUCCACCGUCUGGUAUCUAGAUAAUAUUGUAUAGAUUAUCUCUGUAAAAUUUCAACCAUUUGGUGAUCGUUAAGGCCCUCAAACUCGAGUUUUUCUGGUAUGAACACAACCGGACAGAAUUCAGUCCGUCCAUUUGUUUUUCGAGUUUGAGGGCCUUAACGAUCACCAAAUUGGCUGAAAUUUUGCAGAGAUGAUCUACACAAUAUUAUCUAGAUACUAGACGGUGGAGAUGAGGAAAUUCGAUCGAAAAGUGAUGCAAAAAUGGAAAUCCACUUUUUUAGUGCGGACGUCCGCAGCUGAGAAAAUCCGUGUAUAUAUAUAUAUAGACACACACACGUACGUAGAAACAUGUGGUGAAGGUAAGGCUAUAUAUAUUGAUAAAGGGGGUAACCGAGUGCUAUGUAUAUAUGCCUAUCAAUCAUCACGUACGUUCGUCUUUGGUCCAAGAUGCCCUUCUUCUUCUUGUUUUCUUCUUUGGCUUAUGAUCUAAGUUCUAACUAAUAUUAACGUCAUAUUAAUAGCAUGACAAGUCGUGUAUGUGCAAAGGGAGUCAUGGUAGUCUCUAUUACUUUGCAUCCAAAUGUGCUUCAUUGUUAACUAAGCCUCUUGACGCGUACCAAGUGUCAGUGUGUAUUGUUGUAAUCCAACAAAGUGUGUGUUAUUUUCUCUUUUGAAAUUUGAUAGAAAAUAUAUAUAUAUAUAUAGUUUUUAUCCAGAACGAAACUUUACUUUGAAAUUAAAGUGUGAAAUUCCUUAUUUGACUUAUUUUUUUGUCAUAUUUCCACAUUUCUACUGUUCAGUUUGUAGAACCUAAUGCAUAGACACUUCUACCAAGUUUCAUUGAAUUUGAUGAUCGUUUGGGUUUUCAUAAUCGUUAUUUAUACAAACAGUUCUGAAUAGACAGAUUUAUGGUUCGUUCGUCAAUUUAAUCUAAUUCGGUACCUUAACGAUCAUCAAAUUCAAUGAAACUUGGCAUGAGUGAUCUAUGCAUUAGGUUCUACAAACUGAACGGUGGAGAUGUAGAAAUAUUACCAAAAAGUGAGUUAAAUAAGGAACUUCACACUUUAAUUUCAAAAUGAAGCUUCGUCCUAAAUAGAAACUGUAUAUAUAUAUACACACAGGGCCCUUCCAAUGAGGGAUCCAUUUUUUUGUUCAUUUCUAGGGAUAUAUAUAUUGGGGAAAAAAUGAACCAAAGAGAAAAAAUUAAAAGGAUUACAAUGACAAACCAAAGAGAAAUCUAAGUUGAAACUAAGUACCUCCAAGUGCUUUUCCUGUAUGAUCACCUUGACUGAGAGUGGACCAUGCCAUAACAUCUUCACACCAUGCUCCUUGUUUCUGGAAUUAUAAAAAACAAAUAUAUGAGAAUAAACGAAACAAACCAGAUAACCACCAAGACAAGAAUAAGUAUCAACCUGCAACUCUUGUACCUGCAUAAAGAUCACAUAUAAAUCACAUCUCAUCUG
rnacentral:lncRNA from 1 species